rnacentral:lncRNA from 1 species
CCGACCAGUACUCCAAGACGCGCAAGCAAGCGCCAAGCGGGGAACUCCGCGGGAAACCGGACCGGAACUCAAGUGUGCAGAGCUCUGCUUCGCUAGGAAUUCUUCUUCUCCAAAUGACUUGCCUUUAAUGAGUGGGGGGUGCCCUCUAUUUAUAGGGGUUCUUAUGGGGCAAUAUGGUCAUUUGGGCAGUAACCGCCUAACUGCCCAACUGAUCAGAUUGGGUCCAGGGGUCGACUUUCCAGAGAUCGACUUUCUGGGG